GUCCCAGUGGGACCAGGGUGAGGGUGCAGGUAUCUGAGGGAGUAGUAGGACCAGAACCUCUAACCUUAGGGAGGCUUCCUGGGAGCCAAGCUUGGUGACUUAGAAUGUGAAUGUCUGACCCAUAUCCCACUACCUUUUGGUGGGUGCUGCAGAGGACAAUGGAGAGAGAGUCAACUCUGAAGAGUGGUCUUGUGGAAGAGGCAGCUGGCUGGUUCAGUGUGGCACUGGCAGCCUCCCUAAGGUUCCCAGGUAGAAGUUUCUGACAGGUAGAUUUCAGCUGUGUUUAAGGAAGAACUUUGAAGUUGUCAGAAUGAGCGGUCUUGUGAUAGUGAGCUCCCUGUCUCCAGAGGCAUGCAAGCAGGACACUUUCACAUAUGCAUUCAAGAUGACCUAUGCAAGGCGUUGUGCUAAGUGCUAGGAGUGCAGAGGAGAACGAGACCCAGUGGGGAAACAGGCACUUGCAAUGCUGCUGUGAGUGUGAGCAGAGGUCAGCGUGGGCAUCUGGAGCACAGGGAGGGAGUCCUGAAGGCUGGGUUGAGGAUGAGGAUACAGCUCAUUGCUGAGCCUUAUGGUGAACCAGAAGUUUACCAGGCAGACAGGAGCUGGGGAGAGGGCUGGCAUUCGUCCAUUCAGGUUAUGUUUUCUGAAUUAUAUAUAGAAGGACAUGUUGCAGAAGAAAUGCAAGUACAGUGAAGAAUAAGACUGGGGAACUUUUACAAUUCAGAGUGGCCUUCACUGUGGGCGGUCCGAAUUGAUCCCUGUAUACAGGUGCUUCUGGGGUGACAUUUUCCCUGCUCCAUGGAGCUCCGGGAGGAGUGCGGACCAACCCCUUCUUUGCAGGCCUGUCUGUGGGGUGCCACUCCUCCUCCCACCUCCCCACUGCACAGACAGCCCAUCAGUGUCCCUGAGCUGCUCCAGAAGGAUGCAGCUCUGAGGAGGCUCUGGGAGCGGUGUAUCCUAGCAACCUCUGAGGCUGGCAUCUGCAGGGCUAGGCCCAGACUCAAGGCUCUUUCUAAUUUGCCAGCCUUCCCUUAAUGAUAAGCUUUCCCACACGGAUGUGGAGUGGGGAGGAAGAGGGGAGAAGUGGGCAGGAAGUGUUGCCUCCAACCCCAUCACAGAGUAGGUCAAGCCUCGCCCACAAUACUGCCGGGGAUGGGGAAGGAGGGAGGGCACAGUGAGUCCGUUAACUGAAUAUGCCACUUGUCCAUCACCGUGGCCGGUUUAUCACCAUUUAGAGGACAAUGAAUCCAGGCAGUGAUCCACCAAUGAUAACUAACAUCAUAAAAAGAUACAUGGCCGGAUAUGAUGUUCCUUCUGACGGAAGACCACAACACCUGCUGAAAAAUCAAAUCUGAAUCGGAUCAAGCCUCUAGAGGAGGCAGCACCCAGGGUCAUUCCUGGAGCAUAAACGAUCCCUGCAGAACAUGGGCUAGAAGACCCCACAGUGGGGCAGAGGCAGGUCCUGGACUGGGAUCCCAGCAGUGAGAAGACCUGGACAUCAACCCUAUUUCAUUGUGCCUCUGCAAAUCUCCCAACUUUUGGAGCUGUAGCUGCAAGCUCAGACUUGUGGUUUCCUGUACCUGGAGGAGGCCCAGGUCAUUCUGUUAAGUCCCUUGUCUAUUUCCUGCUUUUAUCUGGAUGCUGAGUUAAUUAUUUGAUCCAACAAUAAAACUAACAAGGUUUUAUUUGUUUUUAAUGUCUUCUCUUUGCUGAACGCUGUGCUGGGUGCUGUAGCUGACAUGGUUUUUGUCUUAACA
rnacentral:lncRNA from 10 species